rnacentral:rRNA from 1 species
UACGUAGGGUGCAAGCGUUGUCCGGAAUUAUUGGGCGUAAAGAGCUCGUAGGCGGUCUGUCGCGUCGAAUGUGAAAACCCGGGGCUCAACCCCGGGCCUGCAUUCGAUACGGGCAGACUAGAGUUCGGUAGGGGAGUCUGGAAUUCCUGGUGUAGUGGUGAAAUGCGCAGAUAUCAGGAGGAACACCGAUGGCGAAGGCAGGUCUCUGGGCAUUAACUGACGCUGAGGAGCGAAAGCAUGGGGAGCGAACAGG